UUGCUUGGCAGCACAUAUACUAAAACUGGAAUGACACAGAAAAAAUUAGCGUAGCCCCUGUGCAAGAAUGACACAAAGAUUUGUGGAAAGUUCCAAAUAUUU
ensembl:snRNA U6 U6 spliceosomal RNA